UGGGGAAUAUUGCACAAUGGGCGCAAGCCUGAUGCAGCCAUGCCGCGUGUGUGAAGAAGGCCUUCGGGUUGUAAAGCACUUUCAGCGGGGAGGAAGGCGAUAAGGUUAAUAACCUUGUCGAUUGACGUUACCCGCAGAAGAAGCACCGGCUAACUCCGUGCCAGCAGCCGCGGUAAUACGGAGGGUGCAAGCGUUGAUCGGAAUUACUGGGCGUAAAGCGCACGCAGGCGGUUGAUUGAGUCAGAUGUGAAAUCCCCGGGCUUAACCCGGGAAUUGCAUCUGAUACUGGUCAGCUAGAGUCUUGUAGAGGGGGGUAGAAUUCCAUGUGUAGCGGUGAAAUGCGUAGAGAUGUGGAGGAAUACCGGUGGCGAAGGCGGCCCCCUGGACAAAGACUGACGCUCAGGUGCGAAAGCGUGGGGAGCAAACAGG
rnacentral:rRNA from 1 species